rnacentral:rRNA from 1 species
UACGGAGGAUGCGAGCGUUAUCCGGAUUUAUUGGGUUUAAAGGGUGCGUAGGCGGGAUGCCAAGUCAGCGGUAAAAAUGCGGUGCUCAACGCCGUCGAGCCGUUGAAACUGGCGUUCUUGAGUGGGCGAGAAGUAUGCGGAAUGCGUGGUGUAGCGGUGAAAUGCAUAGAUAUCACGCAGAACUCCGAUUGCGAAGGCAGCAUACCGGCGCCCUACUGACGCUGAGGCACGAAAGCGUGGGGAGCAAACAGG